rnacentral:rRNA from 1 species
UACGUAGGGUGCGAGCGUUAAUCGGAAUUACUGGGCGUAAAGUGUGCGCAGGCGGCAGAGCAAGUCGAGUGUGAAAGCCCCGGGCUUAACUUGGGAAUUGCGCUCGAAACUACUUUGCUGGAGUGUGGCAGAGGAAGGUGGAAUUCCACGUGUAGCGGUGAAAUGCGUAGAGAUGUGGAGGAACACCAAUGGCGAAGCAGGCCUUCUGGGCCACACUGAACGCUCAUGCACGAAAGCGUGGGGAGCAAACAGG